rnacentral:sRNA from 1 species
AGAUUCUUGCACAACACAGUUUGACCUCCAAAACUGUGUCUCAGAUUUUUCCUAUUGUAUUUCAUUCUCUCAUAAAUCUACAAUGAAAUUUGCAACAAUAAUUCAAUUGGGUGUAAAAUUUGUUCUAUUGAUGUUUUUGGAAAUCUGAGACACAGUUUUGGAGGUCAAGCUGUGUUGUACCAGAAUCU